CCCUUAGAUGUCCUGGGCUGCACGCGCGCUACACUGACACAGGCAACGAGCUUUCCUUUACCGAAAGGUAUGGGUAAUCUUUUGAAACUGUGUCGUGCUGGGGAUAGAUCCUUGCAAUUUUUGAUCUUAAACGAGGAAUUCCUAGUAAGCGCGAGUCAUCAACUCGCGUUGAUUACGUCCCUGCCCUUUGUACACACCGCCCGUCGCUACUACCGAUUGAAUGGCUUAGUGAGGCCUCAGGAUCCGCGCUUAAUGUGUGGAGAAUUUGGACAAACUACGUCAUUUAGAGGAAGUAAAAGUCGUAACA
rnacentral:rRNA from 1 species